GACGAACGCUGGCGGCGUGCCUAAUACAUGCAAGUUGAGCGCUGAAGGUUGGUACUUGUACCAACUGGAUGAGCAGCGAACGGGUGAGUAACGCGUGGGGAAUCUGCCUUUGAGCGGGGGACAACAUUUGGAAACGAAUGCUAAUACCGCAUAAAAACUUUAAACACAAGUUUUAAGUUUGAAAGAUGCAAUUGCAUCACUCAAAGAUGAUCCCGCGUUGUAUUAGCUAGUUGGUGAGGUAAAGGCUCACCAAGGCGAUGAUACAUAGCCGACCUGAGAGGGUGGUCGGCCACAUUGGGACUGAGACACGGCCCAAACGCCUACGGGAGGCAGCAGGAGGGAAUCUUCGGCAAUGGACGAAAGUCUGACCGAGCAACGCCGCGGGAGUGAAGAAGGUUGUCGGAUCGUAAAACUCUGUUGGUAGGGAAGAACGUUGGUGAGAGUGGAAAGCUCAUCAAGUGACGGUAACUACCCAGAAAGGGACGGCUAACUACGUG
rnacentral:rRNA from 1 species